GUUCUGGGCCGCACGCGCGCUACACUGAUGUAUUCAACGAGUAUAUAGCCUUGGCCGACAGGCCCGGGUAAUCUUGGGAAAUUUCAUCGUGAUGGGGAUCACUCAUUGCAAUUGUUGGUCUUCAACGAGGAAUGCCUAGUAAGCGCGAGUCAUCAGCUCGCGUUGACUACGUCCCUGCCCUUUGUACACACCGCCCGUCGCUCCUACCG
rnacentral:ncRNA from 1 species